rnacentral:sRNA from 1 species
AUAAGUAAUAGUAGUAGCUUGUAGUGAGGGUUUACCAAAGUCUUAUCUAUAGUCCUCUGAGACUUUAGGGAGAGAAUCCUUAUUUAACCUCAUGAGAUAGAUUCCCCACCCCCAACCUGAGCUGAGCAGCUAAAGCUUGGGGCGCUGCAGGCUGGGGAGGCUGAGUGCACCAGCGCCCAUGACCUACAACUCUCCCCUUCGCAGACCCCUUCUUCAGGAGCGCCCAGCCCUGGAUCGCAGCCCUGGCAGGGACCCUGCCUAUCUUGCUGCUACUUCUCGCCGGAGCCAGUUACUUCUUGUGGAGACAACAGAAGGAAAUAACUGCUCUGUCCAGUGAGAUAGAAAGUGAGCAAGAGAUGAAAGAAAUGGGAUAUGCUGCAACAGAGCAGGAAAUAAGCCUAAGAGGUAUCCAACGCAAGCAGAGAAUCUAAGCUCUUGGCUUGCAUGCCCCAGCCUGAAAACCUCACCUCUCUCCCCCACCCUGGCACUGCAUCAUGUUUAAGGUUUAUUUCCCAAAACACCAACCUCACCCAUAACAGUUCAUCUUUUUUUUUUUUUUUUUUUUUUUUUUUGGUUAUUUUCCAGAGAGCCUCCAGGAGGAACUCAGUAAGUUACCAUUCCCCCAGAGAUCCAGACAUGUCUUCCUAUCCUCGCUUUGAGCACCUUGAUGACUCUUCCCUGUUCAUUCCAUUGCAGAGAGGAAAAAAAUCCAGUACUUGACUCAUGAGUGGCUUUGACAUUUUCUCUGAAUUCAAAUCUAUUACUCUCUCUCUGCUUCAUUGUUUUCCAGCCCAUAAGUCAUAGCCCAGGGUUGAAAAGUGGUCUUGGAUCCCUUUACCCAGAAAAAGAAAACAAGUGUGGCUCUUUGGAGAAACCACCCAGUGCUUUUUCUCUCUAGAAAAAAAAAAAAAAAAAAAAGAGGUCUUCAAUCUCUUUGUACUAGGGGCUACAGACCCUUAAGCUCUAAAAAGCACUGAGGAAUAUCCAGGGGUACACUUCAAAAGGAAGAGGGAAGAGAAGGAUGAGGUGCAUUUUCUAUGGCAGGAAACUUGUUGUUUCCCAUAAUCUAGAGGCUGUUGAAAGGAAAACAAGAAUGGAAGAUGUAAGAAAUGAGAAAAUCAGAAAAGAGAGAGGGAGGGAGAAAAGUGUGUCUAAUAAAGAGGAGUAGCUACAGUGGCUCAGUUGGUACAGAUAGAUCAUAACUGCUUUCAAAAACUAGUCCCUGAAAUUGCUCAUUAAAUUUCCCAAAUUCUUUUUAGAGCAAGGUAGGAAAUGAUACAGAUUGAGAAGGAUGAAUCUUGUACUCCUAGGCAUACACAUAUAGACAUGGUGACACCUAUGCCCAGGUACAGAUUCAAAACAGAUGAGCUGGACCCCAUUGGGAAGGAACUCUCAUAGUGCCUGCCCUGCCACUAGCGUUCAACCAAUGUUCCCACACUUGAUAUUAAGAAGAGGUGAAGAAAGAAUUGUACCUGCAGAUGGAGACCGUGGGGAAGGGUGGGAUGGCAAAAAAAAAAAAAAAAAAAAAAAAAAAGACUAGAUGGAUGCAAAAAGAAGGGGAAGGGGCCAACACAGAAAAGGCAGAGUUCUGGUGACACCUCUACCUUUCUUUCAUUGUAGGUGGAGAGGAGUCUUCGUCCGAUACCAAUAAGUCAGCCUGAUGCUCUGUAAGUUUGCUGGGUCACAUGCCCUGAAUAUUUCAACUUUUUCUCCACUGUGACCCAUGGAUGCGCUCAGCUGGAUUAAUUAGAUCUAAUCUAAAGACUCAAUUUCUGUGUGGUGGGGGUUCACCUCCACUUUUCUGGAGCCUCUGAGAAACUCCUGAUCCUGCACACCCCCUUGUAAAGCCUGGCCAUGCAUCCUGCACCCCCCAUGACACAGGGAGCCAAGCCUGACAUUUUUGAGAAGGUGCCACCUCUGAUCCAUCAGAGCUGUAGAGGAGGGAAGCUGGACCCUGGAAGAGACUCUGAAGAAAAGGAGAGAAAACAUGUAGUGAGAGGAGAAUGGAGUGGGAAAAGUACAAAAAUACUGACCUUUUUCUUAUCUGUGUCUCCUUCCUUUCAGAAUGGAAAAAUGGCCCUCUUCAAGCCUGGUGAGUAAAUCACUGCAUGUUCCCUGGACCAACAACCUGAGGGACUACAUUCCUUUUUCCUUUUUUCUUCUCCAACUCUUGUGAUUUGGAGCAGAAAAGUUCCCUUGACUUCCUUCCUGGGUAGGAAGACGCAUAAAGGGUGGAGGUGAGGGGAAGGAGACACACACUGAGUAAUACUGCAGGGAGAGUGAGGAUGGAAAUGCCAAGGAGAGGAGGUGAUGUGUGCCCAAAGAACUUUGUCCUUCCCAGGCUUCUCAUGCCACCUACUGCCUGUAUCUCCUCAAAGGAUUUAAUGCUUCCAAGCUUUGGCCUCCACAUUUUUAGAUGAUGAUUGCAAUCUGUUUUUCAUGGGGGUUGAGGUGAAGACUGAAGGAAUAAUGAACAUGCUUGGCAGAAACCUAGCAAGAAAUAGAUGGUGAGCUCAAACGGGGUAGUUGAACAAGGUUUCCAGAAAGAAGGGUUAAGGGAAAGCAACAAGGAAAAGUGCAGUGCCCCCAUGGUUCCCAACAGUAGGGAGCUGUCUCCACCCCUAGCCUGGGAGGGCUAGAAAGGGGAGGCAAUUACUGGAACCCAGAGAAAGAGGUAGCUUAAAGAGGGAGCUUCCUGAGAAGAGUCGUCAGGCCUUGUUAGAGCACCACCAGCUGCUGCUGGCAGGGAGGAAGGAGGAAAUUAAACGGUGUGUCUCUCCUUUCUUUCUCCUUCUAAUCUUCUAUCAGGGCCUCCCAUUGGCCAAACACAACAGCAAACCAGAGGACAAGGGAGCCCAGUGGCACUGUCCAUAGAGGACAGAUUCCUGGGGUCCAGAAGAGGGUGGAGAAAGCUGAAGGCUGGAGAGUGAAUCUAGGGCAUAUAAGGUGCCGCACAGAGCCCAGCACAGAGACGGCCUUGCAGCUAUCAGGAAGA